GACGAACCGUGCGAACGUUGUUCGGAAUCACUGGGCUUAAAGGGCGCGUAGGCGGGCCGCAUAGCCAAGGGUGAAAUCCUCCGGCUCAACCGGAGAAGGGCCUUUGGAACUGGCGGCCUCGAGGGAUGCAGGGGCGUGCGGAACUUCGGGUGGAGCGGUGAAAUGCGUAGAUAUCCGAAGGAACACCGGUGGCGAAGGCGGCACGCUGGACAUCUUCUGACGCUGAGGCGCGAAAGCCAGGGGAGCAAACGGG
rnacentral:rRNA from 1 species